rnacentral:rRNA from 1 species
GACGAACGCUGGCGGCGUGCUUAACACAUGCAAGUCGAACGGAAAGGCCCUGCUUUUGUGGGGUGCUCGAUUGGCGAACGGGUGAGUAACACGUGAGUAACCUGCCCUUGACUUUGGGAUAACUUCAGGAAACUGGGGCUAAUACCGGAUAGGAGCUCCUGCUGCAUGGUGGGGGUUGGAAAGUUUCGGCGGUUGGGGAUGGACUCGCGGCUUAUCCGCUUGUUGGUGGGGUAGUGGCUUACCAAGGCUUUGACGGGUAGCCGGCCUGAGAGGGUUACCGGCGACAUUGGGACUGAGAUACGGACCAGACUCGUACGGGAGGCAGCAGUGGGGAAUAUUGCGCAAUGGGCGGAAGCGUGAUGCAGCAACGCCGCGUGCGGGAUGACGGCCUUCGGGUUGUAAACCGAUUUCGCAUGUGACGAAGCGUGAGUGACGGUAAUGGGUAAGGAAGCACCGGCUAACUACGUG